CCCUGAUGCAGCGACGCCGUGUGGAGGAAGAAGGUUUUCAGAUCGUAAACUCCUGUGGUUAGGGACGAUAAUGACGGUACCUAACAAGAAAGCACCGGCUAACUACGUGCCAGCAGCCGCGGUAAAACGUAGGGUGCAAGCGUUGUCCGGAAUUACUGGGUGUAAAGGGAGCGCAGGCGGGAAGACAAGUUGGAAGUGAAAACCAUGGGCUCAACCCAUGAAUUGCUUUCAAAACUGUUUUUCUUGAGUAGUGCAGAGGUAGGUGGAAUUCCCGGUGUAGCGGUGGAAUGCGUAGAUAUCGGGAGGAACACCAGUGGCGAAGGCGGUCUACUGGGCACCAACUGACGCUGAGGCUCGAAAGCAUGGGUAGCAAACAGGAUUAGAUACCCUGGUAGUCCAUGCCGUAAACGAUGAUUACUAGGUGUUGGGGGAUUGACCCCCUCAGUGCCGCAGUUAACACAAUAA
rnacentral:rRNA from 1 species